UUUUGUCAAGUUGUAGUCGCAGCCAGUCGCAGCCAGCAGUCGUCAUGGAGCAAGGCAACCGCCAGUUUACGAGCAGUGUCUUUUCCACGAGAUAGCUGGUGAGUCCGUGAUCGAGGUCAGCAGGGGAGUGAACACCGGAGGCAGCCAUGCUGGUAAGCCUUGCUUUUCCAAACCACUGUACCGAGGCAGUGCUGCCUGAUGCCAUUCCACGCAACGGGUGGCAUCCAAACAAUGGCUAUGUCAGCGGCUAUGUCAGCGGCUACAGCCCUCAGGUAAGUGAGAAUUAUCAAGAAUGCCACAUUCUCCCCUGCUCCUUUUAGGCCACUUCCAUGCCAAAAAAUUAAUUGUGCUGUAAUAACAAUGCUUUUGUUGAUAAGCAAGGAGGAAACAGAACCCUGUUUAUCGUUUGCUACGUGCACAACGAGUGCACAGGUGCGAUAGGGAACCAACACUGCUUGCAUUUAUCUUUUUUCAGAUUGUGCUGCUCUUGAACUCAUGCACAUCUUAUUUUCAACAGCUCUCGGCUUUUAAUUUUCUUGUUAUGUGCAGGACACAUUUGAAAAUGUAUCGAUGCCUGGAAGGCGUCGGACAAGAUGCUGAUGGCCGAUAGCACAUCCACGACGUAGUUUUUGCCACUGCCGACACACAAGAGCACAUGAUUCAGGAGGCGCGAUCAGUAGUUCACCUUCAAGUUCUUAAUCACGCCCAGGUCCAUGGGCUGCAACAAACUUGUAUUUAGCGACAAAAACUCCAUGGUGGUGUCUUUGAGAUAGCUGAUGUGCCCGUGGGCACCACAGUUGGUGACAAACAUUGGCACCUUGCGGUUCUGUUGUUCGUACCGUCGGUUGAGCACGUACUUUUCAAAAAGGUCUUGCGUUAUCCACGCUUUGGAGUUUGCUUCGUACCAGGCAGGGGGUGACCUGACCCCUUUAAAACAUCUCGGAUGUAUUGAUUUUUCGGGUGUAUUGAUGAGGAGCUCGAGUUUCUCCAUUCCCGACAUGUUGCCUCCUAAGAUAACUGUCAGCCACUCUUUACUGCAGUAGAAUCUCAUUAAUUCAAACUCAAAG
rnacentral:lncRNA from 1 species